rnacentral:rRNA from 1 species
GUGGGGAAUCUUGCGCAAUGGGCGAAAGCCUGACGCAGCCAUGCCGCGUGAAUGAUGAAGGUCUUAGGAUUGUAAAAUUCUUUCACCGGGGACGAUAAUGACGGUACCCGGAGAAGAAGCUCCGGCUAACUUCGUGCCAGCAGCCGCGGUAAUACGAAGGGGGCUAGCGUUGCUCGGAAUUACUGGGCGUAAAGGGCGCGUAGGCGGACAGCUUAGUCAGAGGUGAAAGCCCAGGGCUCAACCUUGGAAUUGCCUUUGAUACUGGCUGUCUGGAGUUUGGGAGAGGUGAGUGGAACUCCGAGUGUAGAGGUGAAAUUCGUAGAUAUUCGGAAGAACACCAGUGGCGAAGGCGACUCACUGGCCCAAUACUGACGCUGAGGCGCGAAAGCGUGGGGAGCAAACAGGAUUAGAAACCCGAGUAGUCC